rnacentral:lncRNA from 1 species
GGUUUUCUCCGGUUCGGGAGAGAGACGGAGUCCCGCUCUGUCACGCAGGCUGCCAGGCUGGCGUACAGUGGCGCAAUCUCAGCUCGCUGCAACCUCCACCUCCUGGGUUCAAGCGAUUUUCUUGCCUCUGCCUCCUGAGUAGCUGGGAUUACUGGCACACACCACCAUGCACAGUUCCUUGUUCAAAAUGCCAAGAACCUGGAUGACUCAUAGUCAAGACCCUCCACCAGUAACAUAUAUUGGCGAGCCAGCCAGGAGCUUGGAACCCUCGGUGGACAGUGCCUAAGCACAGAGGCAACCACAGGUUUCUAACAGGGCCACUCUCUGGUGAAACUGAAAGGUUUCUGUGUGAAAGUGCCUGACCACCACUGCCCAAUUCAGACCACUACAGGAAACACUCCAUUUAUUCCACCUGACUUCCCACUUGGCUGCAUCCUCAACCAUUGAAAUGAAUUUGACCCUGAUAAUCUAAGGAGGAAACAUUUGAUAUUCUUUUGCAAUAAUACUUGGCCCCAGUAUUGUUUGGAAUCUGGAGUUUGCUGUUGAAUGGGAAAGCAGGAUGACGUUGCAUGUAUCCAGGCUUUGGUGCUGCUGUCCUAAGAAGGGUCAGGCCUAGUCAGCAUAUGGUGCUCUCCUUUGGUGCUAUUUGGCUCCAGUGUCUUUGGAGUCUGAGGAGGUUUGGCCUUUAAAAAUCAAACUGCCACCGGAACUGCUUUAAAAAUGUUUGGUUCACAGCCUUCACUGGAUUACCUAUUGGAGCAAACAAAGUGUAACCAUGUAAAACCUGUGAGCUUGUAUUGAUAUCUCAUGGCUAGAGUUCCAAGCGAAUGGGUCUCAUGAGAUCUGAUGGUUUUGAAAAUGGGAGUUGCCCUGCACAAGCUCUCCUUUUGCCUGCUGCCAUCCACAUAAGAUGUGAUUUGCUCUUCCUUGCCUUCCACCAUGAUUGUGAGGCCUUCCCAGCAUGUGGAAAUGGUCCAGCCUGCAAUAACUGAAGCCCCCAGACCUGGAACCUGAAGAUCCCAUCAGCCACUAAACCUGUGAACCUGUAGAAGACCUGAAGUACCUGUUUAAAAGGCAGCCAAAAGAUAAGUAAAUUCCUAUCAACUUUCCUUGGUGUCCUUCUUGUAUAUUUACUGUAAGCUGGAUAUAAUAGUAGCCAUUUUUAUAUUUUUACAAUUUAAUUGCUUUCUUCCAAAUGGAUUGAAUCACUUCUUUUAAAGUGUUUUAAUUAAUUUUUAUCUAUAGAACAAAAUAACAAAUAAGUAUUUUUUUUUUAUACCAUAAUGGUCACCCACAGCCUGUGUAUACUAAGACCAUGCAUACUGAUAAUCAGCUUUAUUUUACAAAAGAGUUUCGCUUUACCCCUCUGGUAAUUAAUGGAUUCUGGGUAUUUAUUAAAAACUUUAACACAAAGACUGUUAAAUACCACCAGUCCAGCUUUGGCAAGGCACUGUUGGCUUUGUUUAUCUCCAUCAUCAUCCAAACAGACUACCAAUCCUGAUCCCAGCCCAAUCUUGGGCCCUUGAAAAAAUAACUUAACAUCCUAACUACAAGGGAGAAACUCCUUUCAAAUUAAUGAACCUGGCUGACUUAUAUAGCCUUAAAAUUAUGGAAAUGACAAGGGUUACAAUGUCAGAAUGAGCAGUAAACCUUCCCCAGUCCUAUCAGAGCAAACUUUCUGGGGUUGCAUCCCCUCAGAAACCCAUUUGGGGCCCAAUCUCAAUGCACAUAUCAGUGCGCAAAGCACUAAAAUUCCAGGCAACACUUUGUAUUGAGAGAAGCCAAAAUUUUGGUCCCGCCCUGGGACAUCUAAAGUCACCAAUGUAACUACACCAUACAGAUUAAACCCUCACAUGAUCAUGUAAGCUAUGCAGUUACCCAAGCUGCAUCAUUUAGAAAACCUGUACAGUUUUUAUGGAAACCAUCCCUAGUCAAGGACACUUUAAAUAUAUAGUCUAAAUACCGUUAAGGUAGGCCCACUAGCUGUGUUCACAUUUUCCCUUGGCCACCUUACCAGGGACUUUAAUAACUUGGGAAAGUGAAAACAACAAGCUAACCCACAUGUUCACCAUAGAAAACAAUUUUGUCUUGAAAAACAAGGACUCUUUUUCCCGUGUGGGACCAGUUCCUACUUAUGUUUUACCAGCCAAUUGGACUGGAACCUAUACAGUUGUUUAUUUAGCCCCCGAAAUUAAUAUAGCUCCCAACAACCAAUCCUUCAUUAUACUUUUAACUGCAACCACCAGACACAAAUGAGCCAUCCAACUGAUACCACUUUCGGUAGAGCUAGGAAUAACAGCAGGAGUAGGAAUGAGAGUUAGCAGCCUUGCAGUUUCCCUAUCCUAUUACCAAUGCUUGUCCAAGGAUUUUAUGGAAAGCUUAGGUGACAUUGCCCAAAAGUAUCAUCACCUUACAAAAUCAGAUAGAGUCUUUGGCAGUGGUGGCUUUGUAAAAUAGAAGGGGACUGGAUCUCCUAAAUGCUGAAGAAGGUGGCUUAUGUCUUUUUCCUAGAGGAAGAAUGCUGUUUUUAUGUCAACCAAACAGGAUUAGUAAGGGAUGCCACCCAAAAACUAGCCGAUUGGUACCAUAAGAUAUGACAACAGCUGUCUGAGUCAUGGGGCGCCUAGUCAAAAUGCUAAUUUGGGGCUCACAUCUCCUUCCUCUGGCCAGUCCACUAUUAAUUAUUAUACUUGCCUUGGCUUUUGGAUCAUGUUUGUUAAAUCUUUUAACCAGAUUUAUUUCUUCUUGCCUAGAGACCAUUAUGAUAAUGCAGCAGGGCCACCAGUCAGUUUCAGAUAAUGAUGUCAACCCCGGCCACCAAGAAGUAACCUUGUCUCCACUAGACAGAGCAGGUUGCAGGAAUUUAGCCAAUUCAGAGGUCUUGUUCUCCAUAAUUUGGAAUUUUCCUUCGGAUUUGAUCAAGUUGGAUAGAGUUGGUCAAACCCAAUGGGAAAAAGAUGAAAACAACAAGAAACAGAAACAAACAGCAACAACAACAACAACAAAAACAAUGCAUUUAAUUAAAUGAAGAUGAGCUCAUGCUGGAGUAGGGUGGACUCUGAACCCAGUGGGACAAGCGUCCUUAUUAAGAAGAGGGAAAUCUGGACACACACAGAGCAGAGACCGCCGUGUGAAGAUGGAGGCAGAGAUCGGAGAGAUGCUGCCACACGCCACAAAUGCCUGGGGCUCCCAGAAACUACACGGAGCCUCCCCCAGCGGCUUCAGCAGGAGCAUGGCUCGGCCAACACUUUGAUCUUGGUCUUCCAGCCUCCAGAACGUUUUCCUAAAAUUCCCUUUUCCACUGGUGUGUGGUGCAAGAUGAGGCACAUUUUCCAUGGAUGGUGAACAGAGGGAGGAGCCUUUUGAUCACAACCAGGUCACCCCACUUCUAAGCCACUGUGCCUCCAGCCCCACAAGACUAAGGAGAGAGAGCGCAGCGUGGUGGAGAGUGAGCUGUGCUGGGACCAUUGUUUCCGUAACCUCGUUUUCUGUGUCCAGCUGACACACCUUCAAAGUGGCAUCAGGUCCUAAACUGUAGCUUGCAAUGUGCCUGUUUCCAGAAACCAAGGUGAAAGUGCUUUUAGACAGUGUUCCCAUGCAAGAGUCCCUUCCCAGCUUUUUUCUGGAAAUGCAUGUUUCUCUGAACUCUGAGUCCCAAGAAAAAUCACUUGAGACACCAAGAAAAUGGGGGAAGUGCUAAAAUUGUGUGGGAAUUCAAGCUUAACAAUAAACAUCAAGACAUUUUUGAUAAAAAUGAAUCCACUGACAUCGGGGAGGAGCAAGAGAACAGCACGCUGACACUGGGUCAGAGGCUAAGACCGACAUUUCUGGGAACCACUCCCGGAAGGGCACAGAGGAGACGCUUUCAGCCUCUCAUCAGCCAGCCUGGCCUGUAGCUGCUGCACGUUAUGAGUGUGUUCCUGGCAUGACUGCUUCUAACAGCGACCAUUUCAUUAAGUUUUUAAGUGCCUGGUAAUUGCUUGGUUAUGACCGGUGUCUGCUCCAUGGCAGCCUCUUCCUGUUUUUGCCCGAAUGAUGAAGGAGGAAGUUUACAUCUUGCUCCCUGGGGACAGGCAGAGACAGUGUGUGCACUUCCAUCCUACAGGGACCAGAUCUGAACAGUCUGGAGAGAGGAGCUGUGGUGGCAGCAGACAGAUCUCUGCUUCAGGGGCCAGGUGUCUAGAAGAAAUGCUGAGGCAGUGUCACGCUGGUGUCUGUCCUCCUUACAGAAUGCCUGAACAGUUCCAUUGACUCAAAGUGAAGAUCAAAAGAACCAAAUGACAGCAAUAGCCAAGUGUAAUCAUCAGUAACCCUGUGUUCUAUCCACAGUUAAAAGAAUAUUGGCAGAGAAACAGCCUUGGUGUUCCAGCAGGAGUGAAGAGGAACAGGAAAACGAGUGGCAGUAGCCCUGAAACAGCCACUUCUGGUGGUUGCCACUCACCUGAGGAUGUGAGUCUUGGCAGGCCAGGCUUCUGGGGACAGGGGGCCCAAGGCACAGUAGACGAGAUGGAGUCUCGUUCUGUCACCCAGGCUGGAGUGCAGUGGCGCAAUCUCGGCUCGCUGCAAGCUCUGCCUCCCGGAUUCCCGCCAUUCUCCUGCCUCAGCCUCCCUAGUAGCUGGGACUACAGGCGCCCCCCACCAUGCCCGGCUAAUUUUUGAUAUUUUUAGUAGAGACAGGGUUUCACUGUGUUAGCCAGGAUGGUCUCGAUCUCCUGACCUCGUGAUCCACCUGCCUCGGCCUCCCAAAGUGCUGGGAUUACAUGUGUGAGCCACCACACCCGGCCCCAUUUUUAAUACGUUUUUUAAAGAUGCAUAUAAAAUGCAUUACCCUCUGGAAGAUUCCAGUAACUUACUGAAGCAAGUUUCUCCUCUACAUAUACCUAUUUCUGCCAUGAGUAACUGUUCAUUUUCAGUGAGUCAUUUGAGUUUCUGUUAUUCAGGUAUACAGAGUUCCUGUUGUCUUUUUAGUCAACAAAGUUUAACAAAGACCAUAAUAAAGAUGGCUUUCAGCAGCUCUGUUAUUGGGAAGGGUUGUAUUCAUGUGAAGAAAGAAAUUAUUUUAUUUUAUUUUUAAGUUUUAGUAGAGGGGGGGUUUUGCUAUGUUGGUUAGGCUGGUCUCGAACUCCCAUCCUCAAGUGAUCCACCUGCCUCGGUCUCUCAAAGUGCUGGGAUUACGGGCAUGAGCCACUGUGCCUGGACAGUAAUAAUAUUUUUUAAAAGGCUGACAUCAGCAGAUCAGCUAUUCUGGAAAGAUUUUUAAACACUCAGAGGUUUUUUUGUGUUUGUUUGUUUUCUUUUCUUUUCUUUUUUAGAGGCAGGGUCUUGCUCUGUCGCCCAGGCUAAGGUGGAGUGGUGCAAUCAUAGCUCACUACAGCCUCAAACUCCUGGGCUCAAACAAUCCUCACACCUUUCAUACCUUAGGCCCCUGAGUAGCUGGGUGGGACUACAGGCAUGCAUCACCAUGCUUGGCUAAUUUUUAAUUUUGUAUAGGUGGGGUCUUGCCAUUUGCCCAGGCUGGUGUCAAACUCCUCAAGUAAUCCUUCUGCCUCGGCCUCCUAAAGUGCCAGGAUUAUAGGCCUGAGCCACUACACACAGCCCGGAGUUUUUAAAAAAUACUCAAUUAAAAUGCUUCAUUUAAGUGUAUGUCUCUAAGAAAAUUUAAUAAUUGAUUAAAUAUUGUUGAAUAGACUGAAAGCACAACAUCCAAGCACAUGAAUUAAGCAAAUAAUGCAAGCAUAGCUCCCACACUCCACAAAUGUUUUCUAGUCAUUCCAAAGCCAUUCUUUUUAGAGGAUCUUUAAGAAAAUGCUUGGCUCUCAUCCGAUUAUUAUACAAGAGAUUAAGAAUUUACUGAGUUUACAGUUCUUUCUAUGAAGGAAAGAAUGAGGUCUACACCCAAAAGAAACAUUGGGAUUUUCAUUUAAGUAAAGCUGUAUUCUCAUUUAAAAUGGUACUAGUGCUCUUGUUGGCAACAGACACAUGAAGCAAAAUUUUCCUUUUACAUUUGAAUUUCAACUGCAUUUAAAGUGUUAUAAAUACCAUGACUACAUAAGCUAAGGGAAUGAAUGUAUUAACUCUGAUGCAGUCUGUCAGGUUUUAACAGUAGUGAAUCUUGGGAUCGGUACAUCUCAUUCCAGUAUAGCUAUGGUAAAUGACAUAGAGAUCGCUGAAUUGUUGUAUUUCCAGGACUUUUCAAAAGUGACUAUUAAGGUUGGCUGUGGGAUCUAGCAGGUUAUUGUCCUAGAACACUUGUGGCCUUCUCCUAAAACAGACUGGGAAAAUUCUGGUUCUUUAUUCACUGACAUCUCAAAGGGCAAAGAGGGAGGCACCAUGACAUUCUGCAGUUGCAGGCCUCUCAGGAUGAGACUGUAUUUUUCCAUACAGCAAUGUUGAUUUGAUCUGGCCUAAUUCUCCGAUUGAUGUGGUGAGAGGCAGGACUACUUGGGAAUGUAUUCACUGUGCCUGAUUUCUCUCUGGGCAAUUUAUUUGGUCAUCAAUCUUUUUAUCCUCCUGACAUUUGAUUUCUAGAUAUUGGCCCAAAUUCCAUAAGAUAGGAAUUUUUGUUCUGAAUUUUAAUAACAUAUGUAUUUUAAUUAAUAGUAUAUUUUAAAAUAAAAGUAACACGACAAAAAGAAAAAACAAAGACAAAAAAGUAACCUAAGAAUAUAUGCUCAAAAGUGCCAAAAAUACAAAAGACUACAGAAUUUUUAAAAUAGAAGCUUUUUGUUCAACUUGCUGCUCUUCUUCCCACUUCUUCAAUUCCAUUUCUUUUCCUAUAGGUGAUCAUGGCUAACAUUUUGGUGUUUGUCUUUCCAAAGUGUAUAGUUAUAGAUCUGAAUAGAAAUGUAGAUACAGAGAUAUCAAAGAUGAGCAUGGGCUAAGCACUCAACAAUAAACUACGUUGGGUCUAUUUUUCAAAGUUACUCUCAAAACAAGAAUACAGAUUGUCCAUUAAACAUACUGGAAUUUUAAUACAUUCUUUUUUUUCCCCCAGAACAUUUCUGAUUUCAUAUAUUCUGGCAUGUUUCCUGCCAUGUGGCAAACCAUAAGCUGAAAGAGAUAUAAAUAUAAAUAACACUAUGUCUAACAAAAUUUGCUCAGAAUAUGCUAAAGCAUUAGUAUAAAUGUCUACAUCUUAAGUCAGAGCUAAAGAACAAGUUUCUCUCAGUAAAUCAAGGAAAGCCAGGGGAAAAGACCAUAGAGAAAAAGGAUAUGGGUGCCUGUAUGAAGCAGGGGAGGUUUUUGACUCCAGUGCACCUAAUUAGCAAAUAAGUAUCAUUCAUCUGUGCUGUGGUAAGCACUGCAGUAUGCAUAAAUAGAAGGUGUGAUACCUGCCUCCAAAGGGCUUACCAUCUACUGAGAAAUCCGACUAAUCAGACAGGAAAGACUCAGAUAAUGAAGGCUUGCAUAAGAGCCUGAAUCUGAUAAGGUAAUGAACAAAAGACAGCCUCUACAGGUUUUUAUAGAUAGAAAUGAGAUGAUAAAAUCAAAUUUAAACAAUGUAUCUUAACUCCCUUCCGGCCUUUCAUUUCCAUUCCAUGAAUGCUACCCUGGCUUAGGCUUUCAUGACUUUGCCUAUUUGCAGUGACCUUGUAUUCAGCACUCUGCCAUCUCUCCCACUACUUCCUCCCAAGCCAUCCUGAACACAGGCCACAUGUUUGAUUUUCUAAUCGUACACAAGGGAACGUCUCUGCUCAAAAGCCAAAAAUGACUCUUCUUUGGCCACCAAAUAAUCUGAACUUUUUGGUGUGAAACUCAAGGCCCUGCCAGAAACAAUAUUAAUCUCCUUCCAGACUGUCUCCCAUUUCCUAAUAUUAACCCCUUGCUCUGUUGAAAUUGAAGCCAUUUUCCAAAGCCACCUCUGUGAUGUCCUUAUGUAAUUCCCGCCCUCUUCUUGUCCUCCCCUGCAACCCUAUCUCCAUAGAAAAGCAGUCAGAAAAACCACCCUAGGAAUUGAUGCAGUAAUCCAGGAGUGAGAUGAGGAUGGGAGGGAGAGGGUGAGCAUGUGGGGAUGAGGAGGAGGGUGGGACACAGGGAGUAGCCACAGACCUUAAUGACUGAUGGCAGAUAGGGUGUGAAGGAGAGAGGUGAGUCAAAGGUAACUUAUUUUCGGUUUUAGGCAACAAAUACAAAUCUUUCUCAAUAACUACUCAUCCCACAUCCUUGUGGCUAUUGGAGGUUGAUAUUUAUUUCAUACUGCCUGUAUAACCUGGGACCAUAUAUAAUUAAUGAUGAUUACUCUGUAUUCUAGAUCACGAAUAUAUAUAUCUAUAUAAAUAUAUACAAAUAUAUAAAUACAAAUAUAUAUAUAUAUAUAUAUAUAUUUACCUUAAUGCAGGCACAACCAAAUACUUUACUUUUGGAGCCAGAUGUCUUUAAGAUACACUCUAAAAUAUUAUUGUGGAAUUAGAUACACUGCUUUCCACGUAAACCAUUAAUAGAUACAUUGAAUAAGAAUCUUUAUUUCAUUCCCAGUGUGGUUUGGAGUAUAAGACUUAGGAAAGUGUCUGUGAAACCUACAGUGAGAAAUUCCACUGGGUCUUGACAGCUGGAGUGAGCACUCAAAUGUGCCCAGCACUUUUCUCUAGCUCCCUUCUCUGCUUGAGCUGUGGUCUGCUUUCUCCUUCUCUGUAGCUCAGAUCAUCUUCCUCCACUUCUCAGCCCACAUGUCUAACGUGGCUGGGACCAGCUCAGAGUGUUUCAAAUGUGUAGGUGCUCGGAGAGAGAGAGACCCAACCCUCUUAGACUCAGGUACACAUUCUCAGGGAAGAAAACUGGAACCAGUAGAAAUAUCAGAUCCCUAUGUUCCCUGACGAGUGCUUCCUUCUCUAAGAAGAAAAACCUACUAAGAAGACAAAUUACAGCUGGAAGGUUGUUUGGUAAGCGUGGAAUCACCUAUCUAAUCUCCCAGCAAGUCUUAAUUGCUCUACCAUAAAAAAAAAGCAACCCAAAUCCAUCCUUUUCCCAGCUUCACUCCCUAGUCCAAAGCCACCAUCCACCCUUGUCUAAACCUCUGCAGGACUGUCUUUGCUUAUUUCUUUUCUUUUCUUUUUCUUUUUCUUUUUUUUAAGCGGAGUCUCACUCUGUCACCCAGGCUGGAGUGCAGUGGCGCGAUCUCGGCUCACUGCAAGCUCUGCCUCCCGGGUUCACGCCAUUCUCCUGCCUCAGCCUCCCGAGUAGCUGGGAGUACAGGCGCCCGCCACCAUGCCCAGCUAAUUUUUUUGUAUUUUUAGUAGAGAUGGGGUUUCACUGUGUUAGCCAGAAUGGUCUCCAUCUUCUGACCUCGUAAUCCACCCACCUCAGUCUCCCAAAGUGCUGGGAUUACAGGCGUGAGCCACCGCACCUGGCCCUGUCUUUUCUAAUUUCUUAACUAUCAUUUCUAUCCCCUUAGAAUUGAUUCUCCACUCAGCAUGCAGAAUUAUCCCUUUGAAAAUCAGAUUAUAUUCCUACCUAAACCACCCCCAAUAGCUUGUGACCUCUUAGAAUCUAGAUUCCUUAACAUGGCCUCAAGGGCCCACGUGACCCAGCCCCUGCCUGUCUCUCUACCUCAUCUCCUACUGCUCCUGCUUUUGUUCCUUCCACUCUAAUCACUUGACCUCCUGACCUCAGUCAUGCUAAUAAACUCAUGCCUCAUUUAGAUUUAUUUUCCUAGUGGAAGAAAAUGCAUUGAUCUGUGAACACAAAUACAUGGUUUAUCUGUUACAGUUCUCAUUGCAUGUCAACAAACUGACAUUCUGAUGUGUACAUCCAUCUCUUAUGAGUCUGCUUAGUGUGAAUCUGCCCCCUCUGGUAGUACUGACAAGAUUGUGUUUCUCAGCCCACAGAGCUAAGACACAGACUCAUGAGACCCAGUCUCUGUCUAUACCACUAGAGUUCUACUGCCCCUGAAUGGCAUUGCCUGCACAGACAGCUGGCCUUCCUCAGCAGACACACAGCCUUUGUACCAUAUAACUCUUCAGACUUGCUAUGAUGUACCAAUGUCUUUCCUUGAAAUGCUCUUCUGAAAAUGAUAAAUGCUAAAACUGAUUACAAUGCUAUUGAAAGUGGAUGAGCAAGUUGAUCUGCUGAGAUGUGAAAACAAAUUCUAUUUUAAUUUUUAAUCUAAAAUAUUAGAAAGAAUUUUGUUUCCUAUACUUUGCUAUAUUUAGUAAAUAUACACUAAUAUAAGAAUUUUGCUUUACUAAAACAGUAGAACCCUCAGUUAGCCAGGCAGUCAUCAUCUGUCACAUAAAAGGUGUCCUGAGGAGGAAUGGGAGUGCCUCCCCUGGGGAAGAGGCUGAUGGUGGCUCUGGCUCUCAGUCAGUCGCUUUCCUUAUCUUGGUAUUUACUGUCAUUUAUCUGGGCUUAGCUAAACAGAUUUAUAGAGAAUUAACUCUCACAAAAUGGGAACAUAAUUUAAAAGAUUUCUGCAAAGAAUUGGACAGGAACUCUUGUCAAAAUUGUAAGCAGAAGAAAAGAAAAAAAGAAAGGGACAGAGCCGACAUUUCUCAUACUUCUGGUACAAGCUCCUCAUCACAUUCAUUGUGUUGUAAAAAUAAUGGUGAUCUAGUAACAUCUGACAAGGUCAGCCAAAAUGAUACAUAUAAGAAUUUAGCUCUCCACCUAGGAGGGCUAUUAGCAAUAAAAUUUCCAUCUACUAUAACUUAUAAUUAACUUUGACCUAUAUGUGUAUUUCCCUUGAGAUUGGCCAAUGAUUGAUUGAAACUACCACAAUUAAUGACAGAUAAAAUAGCUUUUUUAUUUUAAAAUUUCUAUUUUGUGGGUAUUAUAGAAUGUAUUUUAUAUAUUAAUAUACAUAUAAUUAUAUACUAUUAUAAUCAUAUAUUAAUAUUAACAUAUAAUUGUGUGUGUUCAAAAAUUUUUAAUGGCACAAUCAAAAAACUUUAAAGACCACUGGAUUAAAAGAUGGUAUUUAGGGCCCAGCACAAUGACUCAAGUCUGUAGUCUCAGCACUUUGGGAAGCUGAGGUGAGGGGAUCGCUUGAGCCCAGGAGAUCAAGACCAGCCAUGGGCAAUAUGGCAAAACCCCAUCUCUACAAAAAAUACAAAAAUUAGCCAGAUGUGUUGCAACUGUAGUCCCAGCUAUUCAAGAAACUGAAGUGGGAAGAUCACUUGAGCCUGCAAGGUCGACGCUGCAGUGAGCCAUGAUUGCACCACUCCAGCCUGGGAGACAGAGCAAGGCCUUGCUUCAAAAAAUAAAAAUAAAAGAUGACAUUAAGAAGAAAUCUGAUCUCAUUGUCUUUAUUAUCAAGUGAUUGAAGGCUAUAAUCAUUAUUUAAUAAUCUUGUAGAUAAUGAUUGUACUUGAAAGUGGGCUAUUAAUAACUAGAUAUAUCUAGAGCACCAAGGUUUUACAAUUGUUAGAAAUUUGAGAAGCAGCACCCAGUAGUGACUUAGAGUCAGACUGCAUGGCUGAAUCUCUGCUUCAGUCAUUGCUAACUACAACCUGGGGCAAGUUAGUUGACCUACUAUGCCUGUUUCCUCACUGUAAAAGGAGAAUAAUAUCAGUACUUUCCAUAUAUGACUAUUUUCAGGAUUAAAUGAGCUAAUACAUUUAAGAAUUUAGGCCAGUGCCUGGCAUUUCAGAAGUGCUCAAUGAAUGUUAACUAAUAUUAACCUGGCUUUGGUUAAAUUUGAAAAAACAAACACAAAAACACAACUUUGUGUAGGUAACUUUGUUACCUACUGCCCCUUGCUGGCCAACCUGGGUCAGUACACUGCCAUCUAUGUGGGGAAGCUAAAUAAAUAAGUGCUUGGAGUAAGGAAAGAUUUUCAGCGUUGAGGGUAAUAUCAAUGCUAAACUUAUGAAUAUUUUUGCAAAAUAGUCUUGAGAAAAAUCAAUUGUCAUGAAAUUAAGUAAUUAGCAAGAAGUAUAGGAAGAGAAAUUAAAUAUCUGUAACAAUAAUUAAAUAAUAAGCACAUUUUAGAUUCUUAAGAGCAGUUGAAAAGCAAGACAUUUUAAAUUGCAGUGCUCUAAAAUAGGACCCUUGAGAAUUUAUGGUGUAAUAGAAUAUGAUUUGCCAGGAAAAGCAACUUGCUCCCUGAAAUGACCAAGUAUGUAUUUCAAGUUCUGCCUAGAUGUUUGAGGGGUGGGAGGAGGUAUUAUCUUCUGUAGGGAGACCCCCUGAAACUACUGCUACAGAAUAAAAGAUGAAAUGCUCCUGGUUAUUGUAAAUACAAAGUUGCAUGCAGGAUUGUGUAAAGACAAUGCCAGGUUGGGCUGCCAGAAUGAGCCAACAGCGCGUGAUGUGCUUCCCCCUGCAGAGAGCCUAUGAACAGACGUGCAGUCAGGGAGGUUUCACAUCACCAAGAUUCCUAUCCCAGAAAAGCAGAUGUUCAGAGCUCUGGGAAUGGAAUGCAACGCUUGUGGAGAGCCUAUAAGCAGAUGCAUGAGGGGCACCUGUUCAUAUGGAUAAGAUAGGGCUACAAACACCCUCAUCUUGCCAUGGCUCUUCUAGGCCUCUUUAGGGUUAAGGCAUACUCCCUUCUGAGAAUUUCUGGUCUAACCGGUUGUCUAGCUUCACGUCCUGUUUCCAUGGAUUGUUUGUAACCAGCUUUUGCUGCAACAGUUACUGCUGAUUAAUAUCUUGCUAAUCAUAGGUUAUGGACAGACUGUGUUUCUGUUUCAAGGCUCUGUUAGAAAUGACUGAUGUAAAUUCUUAUCUCUGUAUACUGUACUUCUGCAUAUAGAUGUUAUGUUAAAGAAUUACUUCAUCUCCAUGUGACUAUCUCACCUCAUAAUCAAACGACCCUAAAUCCCUCACUAACCUACCCCUGACCUCACUAAACUUAAUAAUAAAUGCUGGUAUAUCCAGUGCAUUGGCGGCACCACGGGACCAGAAGAUGGUGACCCCCCCUGGACCCAGUUUUCACUAUCUUGUGUGCGUCUAUUAUUUCUCGACCUGCCGAUCUGCCCGUGAACAAGGAAAGAGCCCCAUUGCAUUGCGGGCUGCGGGGCAGAUCCCACAAUAAUCUUCCUAUUUGCAGAUUGUAUAAUAAUAAUAAUGCUAUUGCUUAUUGAGUGCUCACUACAUGGCAAGGGCUUUCCAUAUAUCACCUUUUUCCUUGUUCUUUUUUUAACAUGAAAAUAUUCAAACAUAUAUACAUUAAAAAUAUAAUGAACAUCCAUGUACAUCACUACAUUUAACAUUUAACACU